CAAGAGUGCAGAAAUAAAAAGCUUGAUUUUUUGCUUCUUUUAAAACAAAGAAACCAAGGAUUAAGCAGCGGCCAGACAACCGUAGCGAUGGUAUCCACAGAUGAAGGGCUAAUUUCUUUUUUAAUCCCUUCUUUGUCUACUGAUUCCAUCUCACACUU
rfam:Gossypium raimondii chromosome 11, whole genome shotgun sequence.